GGCUCCAGCUCCAGGCUUCUGAGCCGCCUUCACGUUGCUGUAAAAAUGCAAAGCAUUCCAGCCAUUUUAAUUACUGGGUGUUGCAUAAGCCAGCAACCAGUUCAUACAAAGGAACAACAGACAAAAAAUGAUUUUUCAACAUGCCUUUGGCCUCUCCCCUCCUUUUUCCCUGAAAUCAGCCUCAGAUCACUGGCUCCCAGGCCUUGAAAAGCACUCCAGACCAGGUCAAACAAGAAAUGAUGCACCUCACUUGCCUGCUGAUAAAGCUCCCUUGCUGGCCCUCAGUACCAUGGGAGGUAUAUGUCUCCUUCUGCCCCUCCUUCACACAGUGAUCAAGAGGUCUGAGUGCUCAGUGAGCAUCCAAAAGAUGAAGAGGAAUCCCCAGCACUUCAUGAACCUAUGGGCAUAGAGACUUUGGAGUCUCCAAAAAGAGUGCUGGUUUGAAAAGUCAUCUCUAGGACGGAAUCAUAGCUCUACAACUCUCUUCCUUGUAAGAAAAUGGACAUGCUAUGUCAUUUUUUGACCUCGGUUUUCUGGACUAUAAAAUGGGCAUAAAAUAAUAUCUACUUUUUAGGGUUGUGAGGAUUGGAAGAGACACCAUAUUGAAAAUGCCUUGUACAGAGCAGGUAUUCCACUACUGUAAGUUCCUUUUCCUUGCUCUUGUCUUAGAAAUCUUUUCAAUCAUGGACUAGGAGAAGAGACUUGUGGCUGCCUGAUGGGAGGGGGAGGGAGUGGGAGGGAUCAGGAGCUUGGGCUUAUCAGACACAACUUAGAAUAGAUUUACAAGGAGAUCCUGCUGAGUAGCAUUGAGAACUUUGUCUAGAUACUCAUGUUGCAACAGAAGAAAGGGUGGAGGAAAAAUAUAAUUGUAAUGUAUACAUGUAAGGAUAACCUGACCCCCUUGCUGUACAGUGGGAAAAUAAAAAAAAAAAAAGAAAUCUUUUCAGCUUACCACCCCAAGGUUGAUGAACAUUACAAGGCAGGGAAAUAAUUAUUUAUUGUAUCUCUCUAUUGGGUCCAGCACUGAAUUAGAGGAGCCUGGAGUGAUGUGAAGAUGAUGAGGUACUAGGGGGUCUGAGUUCUUGUCUUGCCUUUGCCAAUAAUUCUGCACGACCAUAUAAAAGGCCACACUCUGGGCCUUUUUCUGUAUCUGUAAGAUGAGGGGGUUGGAUUUGAUGACCCACAGUUCUCUCUCACCUCUGGCCCUCUGUCUUACCAAAAUAUGGGUUUCCAAUCACCUCCCCACUCCCUGGUUGUGUGGCCCAGCAUCUCAUGGCACACUGGACCCUCCUGUUGUAGUUCAUACCACCCACUAUUGCUUUCACCUCUUUCUCUCCCACUAGACUGGGAACUCCUUGAGGGCAGGUCUGUGCUUUGUUCACUGUUAGAUCUCCAGUGCCU
rnacentral:lncRNA from 1 species